GAGUUUGAUCCUGGCUCAGGAUGAACGCUGACAGAAUGCUUAACACAUGCAAGUCGACUGGAAUUCUUCUUCGGAAGAUAGUACGGUGGCGGACGGGUGAGUAACGCGUAAAGAAUUUGCCCUUCAGACUGGGACAACUAACCGAAAGGUUAGCUAAUACCGGAUAUUAUGAGACCUUGGCAUCAAGGACUUAUGAAAGCUAUAUGCGCUGAAGGAGAGCUUUGCGUCCCAUUAGGUAGUUGGUAGGGUAAUGGCCUACCAAGCCGACGAUGGGUAGCCGGCCUGAGAGGGUGAACGGCCACAAGGGGACUGAGACACGGCCCUUACUCCUACGGGAGGCAGCAGUGGGGAAUAUUGGACAAUGGACCAAAAGUCUGAUCCAGCAAUUCUGUGUGCACGAUGAAGGUCUUCGGAUUGUAAAGUGCUUUCAGGUGGGAAGAAGAAAGUGACGGUACCACCAGAAGAAGCGACGGCUAAAUACGUGCCAGCAGCCGCGGUAAUACGUAUGUCGCAAGCGUUAUCCGGAAUUAUUGGGCGUAAAGCGAGUCUAGGCGGCUUGUUAAGUCAGAUGUGAAAAUGCGGGGCUCAACUCCGUAUUGCGUUUGAAACAGGCAGGCUAGAGUACUGGAGAGGUGGGCGGAACUACAAGUGUAGAGGUGAAAUUCGUAGAUAUUUGUAGGAAUGCCGAUAGUGAAGACAGCUCACUGGACAGAUACUGACGCUAAAGCUCGAAAGCGUGGGGAGCGAACAGGAUUAGAUACCCUGGUAGUCCACGCCGUAAACGAUGUUCACUGGGNGUAGGGGGUCGAACCNNUGUGCCGANCUACGCGAUAAGUGACCGCCUGGGGAGUACNCCACGCAGUGUGAACUCAAAGA
rnacentral:rRNA from 1 species